CAAAGAAUAGUUUAGUUUUAGAACACUAGCUUUGGGAGUUAGCGGUGAGGGUUUGAAUCCCUUUUCUUUGA
rnacentral:tRNA from 1 species